GUGGAGGUGGCUGGGGAGAAGGCUGUCUGGGAUUCCCUACUUGGGAUGCUGCCCCCCAUGACCCGGACCGGGUAAGCGGAGGAAGACGAAGACGAUCAGCCAUAAAAUUAUGGAUAUGUAUAGAUUUCCAUUCACAAACCUGAAUGCAGCAGCUAUGGGUCAUGUGUGAGUGUGGGCAGAUAGUCUGUCAAGUAAUGGCCAAUCUCAGCACCCUUCUGUACUGGUUGGUUUCAGAUUGAAAUGUUCCUGUUUUCUGAAUUCCGGACGUCCCAUAUUCAUCACCAUCUUAUUGCGGUUUCACUUUGCAUGUGAGCAGGGAGUUGACGCCAAGAAACCUCAGAGAAACUGUCUGAGAGAGAGAGAAAAGAGUGAAGAAAAACAGAGAUCCUUUUCAGCAGAAUGGAUGAAGGUUCUGACAGAGGAGAGACUUGGACAAACCAGGGGUCAAAGACGGCAGAUGGAGGGAAUGCCCUGCAUCCGCUUCAGAAACAGGUCGAUGAAGUGACUGUCGUCGUGACUGAGUGCAUCAAUAAGUUGCAUGAGCGGUUUGAAAAUCUGGAAGAACUGAACGCUAAAGCAGAUGAACUCAGGAAGAAUGCUGAGAUAUUCAAACAGACCACAACAAAACUGAAGAUGAAGAAAAUGAGGCAAAGCAGAAAUCUGCUCACAUGGGAAGUGCUGGUAUAUGUCACGGUAGUUCUUAUUGUGAUUGUGGCUGCAGUGCUUAUUUCCAUAAAACGUUUUUCACAAUAAAACUGCAUCUGAAGAGGCCACCAAAAGCCCAAAUUCAGUUCUAUGAAACACAUGGAAAGGUGUCUUUUAUACGGGGCCCAAUGUCAGUUCUGUAUAAAAUACGACUGGGAGACAUUGCUGAUUGAUAGGG
rnacentral:lncRNA from 1 species